CCAACUUAAGUUAAUAGUUUUGGAAACUGUGUUCAUAGUGUUAGAGAUGAUGUUUGACCUCUUAGUGGGGAAGGAAUUUGGCAUUGUUAGUAAAAUUAGUAAUUUAAGUGGAUAAGGAAGUUGACAAUGUUAGUAAUUUGAAAAUAUGACCUGGUAAUCUGUACAAUCUGUACAGAAACUGAGAAUGUGUACAAAAACUUAAGCACAAGGAGCCAUGAUUUCAAAUGUAGGGGACCAAGUCUGAUUUGUGUGAGUUUGGGGUCCCCAAAAUCAGCUUCCCACNCCCCACCACACAACCUAAACCCAAAAUCAUCAAAAACCAAACCAAAAAUGCCUAAAAGUGAAGAUUUGACAUAAUGGUCCCCUGUGUACAAAAAANN
rnacentral:lncRNA from 1 species